AGUCCAGUAGUCUAGUUUGGAUUGGGCGCUGGCUUGCGGAGCCAGAUAUCGGGGGUUCAAUUUUUGAGAAGAUUAUUCUCAAGAGAAAAAAUCCCCCCUGGGCUA
rnacentral:tRNA from 1 species